rnacentral:tRNA from 2 species
GCGAGGGUAGCUAAGCCUGGUCAACGGCGCUAGGUUGAGGGCCUAGUCCUUAGUGGUUCUCGAGUUCAAAUCUCGGCCCUCGCA